GUUUGAUCCUGGCUCAGAACGAACGCUGGCGGCGUGGAUAAGACAUGCAAGUCGAGCGCUGAUUUGAAGGUAGCAAUAUUUUUAAGUCGGAGCGGCGAAAGGGUGCGUAACACGUGGGAAUUUGCCUUGAAGUGCUGGAUAACUCCGAGAAAUCGGAGCUAAUAUGGCAUGUGAUUGUGAAAUCAAAGUCGGGGAUCGCAAGACCUGACGCUUCAAGAUAAGCCCGCGGCCUAUCAGCUAGUUGGUGUGGUAAUGGCACACCAAGGCUAAGACGGGUAGCUGGUCUGAGAGGACGACCAGCCACACUGGAACUGAGACACGGUCCAGACACCUACGGGUGGCAGCAGUCGAGAAUUUUUCUCAAUGGGCGAAAGCCUGAAGGAGCGACGCCGCGUGGGGGAUGAAUGGCUUCGGCCCGUAAACCCCUGUCAUUUGCGAACAAAUUGAUUCACCAAAUACGCGGAUCAUUGAUUGUAGCGAAAGAGGAAGGGACGGCUAACUCUGUGCCAGCAGCCGCGGUAAUACAGAGGUCCCAAGCGUUGUUCGGAUUCACUGGGCGUAAAGGGUGCGUAGGCGGUUGAAUGAGUCUGACGUGAAAUCUCCGAGCCUAACUCGGAAACUGCGUUGGAUACUGUUUAACUUGAGGAAUGGAGGGGAGACUGGAAU
rnacentral:rRNA from 1 species